rnacentral:lncRNA from 1 species
AACAAAUAAGUAAAAAAAUAUAAACAAAACAAUUAUGUCUUCAAGUGAUCUGCAUGAACUUCAAAUGGGCUUGAUCUUUAGUUGAUGUGCAUUUGGGCUGCCCUCUUCACAACUUAGGCUCAUGCAAACAUAUUAACACUUCCAAUUAUGUUCACCUCCUGAAUCUCAUCCAAAAACUUGUUGCUAGUUGAUUGAUCUUCUAAACUUGAAAAACAACAGCUUUGAUGAAUUAAAAUUAAUAAAAUUUACCCCAUCCACGCAUGUAUCAUUUG